GCUGCUGGAACUGAGCGAGCAGCGACACCGACGUGUCCGACCAGUCGAAGUGGAGACGCAUCCUGGAGACUCGAGGGCAGCUCUGGGAACAGAAACAAAAGAACCCAUCACUGGGGGGUACCACAGUAAGGUACGGUCAGGGCAGAGCUAGACCCACGACAGAACCAACUAGGCACCGCCUCUUUGUGGAGUUCUGGCUCCUGAUUGGAUGAAGAGGUCUUACAGUCAGAGAUCAGAGUAAAACACUGACCUGAUCCAUCUUGGUGAUGCUGUCCUGGUGUGAGCUGGAACUAGGGUGGACCCGGAGGUCCAGAGGCUCCAGGAGUGUGAAGGUCCAGUUCAGGUCCAGGUGGCUGAGGUCUCUGCAGUGGACAUUGUCCAGCAGGUGGCUCAGCAGCUCCCCCCACUGGUUGCAGCGGUCCCCAAGGUCGAAGCUGGCCUUGAGCGUGAGCAGACUGGCCCGGCGGGAGAUGAGGUGGUGGGUGUAAUGGUGGACCCAGGCUUUCCAGCGCUCAAACUCACGGUUGGAAACCAGCAGCCCCUCCUGACCCAGGUGGAAGACGCCGCGGCGGGAAUAGUCGGCCACUCGCCACAGCUUCCAGGAGCGGACGAGACGACUCCAGCUCAGACUCACUAGCGCGCAGCUGCACUUGUCCACCUCGUUCAGGAAGGACAGCACGUGCAGCUGACACUCCACCGGCAGGAAGUGGAACGGGAAGACGUCGUCCGCUGCUUUCCUGCGACUGCUCACAGGAACCAGUGGCCUCUUCCGUGGCGACAUGGCGACAGAGGAAGUAAGAACAGUCACUGGUAGAGGUCAGAGGUCAGCGGCUGCACCUAGAGAUUUCUGCUCCCACAUAAAUGACUCGAGUCUGGAGAAGUUUCAAGAAAACACAUCAUUGUUAUUGUUGUUAUUAUUAUUGUUCAUAUUGUUAUUAUUGUUCGUAGUUAGUUUGUUGUUCAUCAACAACAGUCACAUGACACAUUGGUUAGUUUGUUAAGAAUCACACUGCUGUGUGGAAGGAUCACCUGUGUUCACAGAGGGGAGGAGUUUCAGUGAGGGGAGGAGUUUAUUUCAGGCCCAGGUGUGUUCAGCCAUUUUCUGUUUGUUAAAGAAAACGAGGACACUGCAGUGAGACAUUCAACAAGAUUCUUGUGAGUUAUAGUUCAUGUUCUCAUUGAUUUUAAUACAUUCAUACACUAGUGUGUGUGUGUGUUGUUAACUGUGUCAUUCACAUGAUGUUGUUAAAGAAUCGCUUUUUUUUUUUAAUGUAUGGAUUUUAGAAGGGUUUACGAUAUCUGCGUCACAUGUUCACGUCUUUAUCUCACAGUGACACAGACUUUUGUAAAGCACUCACUCUCUCUCUCUCACACACACACACACACACACACACACACACACACUGCUGCCUCCAUCUUUCAUUAAGACUUAACUCAGUGACACAAAGUGACCACACGAGGCAGCAGAGGACCAGCAGCUCCAUGCUGGUCACGUGACACACAUCUGGUCACUGUUAUCGCGACAUUAGUGUUAUGAAGUUAGCUUCUCAGUUAACGUACAAACACUUUCACACAUAAACUGUGUUACUGUCAUUAUUGUAAUUAUAAAGUGAAAAAAAUAUGUAUAUUUACCUUUUAGUUAAACAUGCUUGGACCUCGGUUAAAGGCUAACCUGCUAGCAGCUAACAGGAGCAGACAAAGGAGCUUUCUUUAUUUAUUUAACGCUUUUGACCGCGCGCUGGUUCAUGAAUGUGUGAAUAGAUGUCGUUUAUUAUCUGUAAUAAACCGUGAAAACGCUCAUAUUAACGACACAAAACAAACGAAUACACGGAGAAACCGCAGCUCGCAGUAGUUUAGCUGCUUAGCACUCGAACAGCUGAGCUUUGUUAUGGUUGUGGCUCGGUGCUGAUGGCGUCAUCAAAAUGCGUCCGGGUGUGUGUUUUUCGCACCGGUGCUGUACCAGCGGGCGGGGUUAACGCUCAAACUUUAGGAACAAAUAAAUAAUGACAUAAACUGUG